GAGGGGAAAGGGUCCCCAGUACGAGAGGAACGGGACGCUGUGGCCUCUAGUUAACCGGUUGUCUGACAAGGCAGUCGCCGGGCAGCCACGCCGCUGAAGAUAAGAGCUGAAAGCAUCUAAGCUCGAAGCUUCUCCCGAAAAGAGGCAGCCAUUCCCGUUUUUACGGGACAAAGGCACCCAUAAAAGAUGGGUUUAAU
rnacentral:rRNA from 1 species